AAGAGGAAGUAUGACAGAUCUGUGACCAAAAAAAGUACUAAGCAAACAGCACAGCCAUUCGGCCGGCCCCUGUCUCCCUGACAGUGUCAGAGCCAUUGGUCUGGAAGAAGCUGAAGAAUGGAACACCCACUCCUAAUCUUCAGGAUGCCACACAGACUGAACACACAGGAGGGAAUCGGCCAAUUAGGGGGUCAAGGAGCAAGACUUGAACUCAGAAUCUGCCAUUUCAUUAAUAGGUUGGCACUGUACUACAUGAGCUACAUCUCCAGCCCAUUAAGAAACCUUGAGUGACUAACAUUUGAGUACUUUGGAGAUUUUUUUUCUUUUUUUAAUACUGUGUUCUAAAACAGAAAUACAGUUUGCUAUUGACAAGGAAGGCUCUUGACAAAUAAAUAAAUAAUAAUGAAUGAAGUAUGAGGGUGUGGAGCAUGGAUCCUGGCAAAAGAUGAGGUACGAUGGAGGGAAGAUACGCUAUGACUUGUUUGUUGAGAAUUCAGCCCAAGCUUACCCUUACUCACUUGUCAAUAAAUUUUGGAGUGUUUUAACCUAAA